AGUGAACGCUGGCGGUAGGCCUAACACAUGCGAGUCGAACGGCAGCACAGUAAGAGCUUGCUCUUACGGGUGGCGAGUGGCGGACGGGUGAGGAAUACAUCGGAAUCUACUUUUUCGUGGGGGAUAACGUAGGGAAACUUACGCUAAUACCGCAUACGACCUACGGGUGAAAGCAGGGGAUCUUCGGACCUUGCGCGAUUGAAUGAGCCGAUGUCGGAUUAGCUAGUUGGCGGGGUAAAGGCCCACCAAGGCGACGAUCCGUAGCUGGUCUGAGAGGAUGAUCAGCCACACUGGAACUGAGACACGGUCCAGACUCCUACGGGAGGCAGCAGUGGGGAAUCUUGCACAAUGGGCGAAAGCCUGAUCCAGCCAUACCGCGUGGGUGAAGAAGGCCUUCGGGUUGUAAAGCCCUUUUGUUGGGAAAGAAAAGAAGCAGGUUAAUACCCGGCUGUUCUGACGGUACCCAAAGAAUAAGCACCGGCUAACUUCGUG
rnacentral:rRNA from 1 species